GGGGGCGCGCAUGCAGUCCAGUCUUCGUUACGCCGUUAUCCGCGUUGGUUGGUCGUUAGAAUUAAAUUCGCAAUCGUGAUUGUUGUCGUAGGUAAGCAGCAUGGUGCUGGCUCCUCGAGUUUAGUGAGUUUUGUGUUUUUCUCUGUGGCCAUUGCUGCCGAUAUUUUUUAAUGCAAUAGAUGGAGACAGGUGCGCGUCUAACAAAAUCGACAAAUAAAAGAAGCAUCAAAUCAAGUAAAGCAAUUUGUUGCGAAAAACGAGAAAAUUUAUAAAAAUUAAACAAAUCUAUAAAGUGUUAAGGAGCUGUGGAUUUUACUCAACGAUUUGUUAUUAUUAUUUUAAUUUUGGCAUUCUUUGUCGAAUUGCAUUGUCUCGCAUUUCGCGUGUUAAUUUUUUUUGCCUUUCUUUUCCUGCGCAACAACGACGACGUGCCAGUGAGCUGUGCGUAGUGAUUUAUGCGAAAUUUGUUUGUGUGUGAAGCAGCAGCAGACAGCCGCUUUUGUGCGAAAGUUGUUUGUCAGUUGGCGUAUGAAUUGCUCGAUUGAGUGUAAACAAAAAGAAAUUUUUAAAAAAAGAAAUAUUGUGCGAAAAAAUUUACUUAAAAUUUUGUGAAUAUUAUUGUUGCUAUUGAAUUCGCGUAUUGGAACGUAUCGUACCAAAAGACGCGUACGGUGAGUUAAUAAGAGAAAAGAGCGAAAUUACAAUUACAAAAAGCCGGAAAGCGUUGUACAUUCUUUGUGACUGACUGCUGUUGCUUUUUGCUGUCUGUGACGCGAAUUUGUGGGAGAAAACGUGCAAAGCGGCUUGCGGAAAAGCGGCCCAAAACAAAAAGCCCAAAAAUUUAAUCACUCACCAUUUGAAUUGCAAGAUUCCUAAAACUGCAUUUUUUCAGCGGAAUAUCAACUAAAAAGCACAAAAACAGCGAAAAUUUCACUCGACAUAAAAAAUUUAUUUUGCAAAUCACUAGCAAAAAUAUUGCUAUAAGUAAUGAAAGUAAGAAAAGAAAAUUCAUAUACCAAACUAAUAAAUAUCGUGAUUGUGUAAAAAAGCGACUAAGAGUGACCAACACAAAAAUCAAGUUACAGCGUCUUCAAAAAA